UUAACCUCGCCUUCAUUAUUUGAUGCGAAUUUUGAUGGAAGAUUCUAGAAACGUACAUUUCCCUUAACCUCGUCUUCAUUAUGGUUCAGAUCGAUAACAAAGGAAGAGGAAGAGUUUGUGUCGCCCCGAUAAAGUGCUGGAAGGGGAAUCAAGCAGAUGCAACUGCGGCGAGGACGAGGUUGAGGUCUAGAGGUGAGGAAUUGGCGGAGUCUAUUUGAGUCUCGAGUCCCAACAACUUGGCAUAGAUUGCGGAUUUUUGGCACAAGCUUUGUCACCUUCUUUGAAAUCACCUUAUUAUAGGGAAAGCUUCUCUUUUUCCGAGGCGGCACCAUGGUAAGUUCCAUGGUCUUGAACGUAGAGGAUUCGCUGGCGUUGGAGGAGCCCUGAGGGCGUGAAGGGGGUUUCUGACUUGCACGCUUGGGUGGUGUGGGUGCUGCAGCGUGGGCGUUGGUGUUUGCAUUGUUGUGCACUUGUGGCUAAGGAUGAGGGUGUGGUUGUUGUAGUGGGUGCUGCCAUGAUGCCGUUUCUCCGCAAAACAGAACGCUUCGCUUCGAGACAGAGCAUCAACAGCACAGCGAAGAACCACUGUGGCUGUGGGUCUAUUGUAGGGGGCCAGGGAAGGUUUUUGGACCUGAUGUGGCUGUGGGUCUAUGUAGGCAGCCUUACUCUGAUUCUGAAUGGUUCCAAUGUCUGACCUUUAAUUGCAGGAAAUAAGUCCACUCUUUGUGUAGUAAUUCUAUGCAGUUUUCUCCUUUUUCAUCCUUUAAGAGUCCAGAUUUAUAAUUAGUGUUUGUAAAGGUGGAUGACAAGUACCAGUAUUCAUGUCACAACAAAGAUAGCCAAGUUCAUGGAUGGGAAGACGCUAAACUAUAGCUCAAUAGAAUUCCACCAAGUGGACCUUUGACUUUAAUAUCUACUGGACAAGACAAUUGCAAGGACCAUUGAGAUAUGCCGGACUUUACCAGCAGGAGAAGCUUGCCUUCUGGACCAACAUCUACAAUUCAUGUAUGAUGAAUGUCAUGUUGGAAGUGCAAAAAAUUCAACCUAGAAGAACACCUUUUACUAGUAUGAUGCAUCUGCAGGAUCAUGAAGAAGUGAAUGACUUUCAUGCGAGGCUAUUUGAAGUGAUAAGGCACAUCUGUUUGUAAGAACUAUGAACACCUUUUUUGGCUAAGCUUCCUCACCUCAGACAAGUUGAUUUUGCUUUGAACUACCUAAGUGGUACAAUCCCAAAGGAGUGGGGUUCAACAAAACUAACUAAUAUGUAAGUUCUUAUCAAAUUAAUUUAAGUUUUAAUCUAGUUACAUGCCUUUUGUAUUAAAUAUAGUUACUAUAUUGUGCAACUCUCUAUUUGUUAAUUGUGUAUCAAGGGAAAUUCCCAAGGAGUUUGUAAGUAUUACCACUCUAACAUACAUGUAAGUUUCUCAUUUAUUUAUUUAUUUAUUUUCUGAA